CAAUAAGAGUGUUUAUGGCACUCUUCAAAAAAUCCAUGCCCACCUUGUGUGCAACGUAAGAAGAAAAAAAGAAGAUGCGAGUCAUGGGGAAACCCAAGUCUUGCUCCCUUUCUUUUUUCUUUUCCACAUACACCUUUCUAUUAGUUCCUAUUGUCUGAAGCUGUUAGAGAAUGACUAAUUCUUAAACA
rnacentral:misc_RNA from 1 species